rnacentral:lncRNA from 1 species
UGAGGAACAGGUGGAGGGGAAGCCGGCAGAGGGGGCUGAGCAAGAAACCCUGAGACAUGGGGAGGACAAGGCUCUGUCCAGUACCGUAGAAGCCGCAGGAGGAGAGCUUCAGGCCAGGGCAAGCAGCCGAGUCAGAGCAGGGCGGAGGAGUGCCCACUGGACUCAAGUGUUAGCUGCUAUUUUAACUCCUCCUGGCCUCUUCGCACACGGGGCAGGCUACUGACCUCUUGGACCACUCGGAAGCCUCGCAUUUUCCUGACUCCUGCCUCGGAAAGCUCUGCAUGCCUUCCUCUCCUCUCUUCCUCAGUACGGAGCACCAUGCCUCGACUGCCAUGACGAAAUACCACAGACUGGGUGGCUUCAACAACAGAAAGUUAUUUCUCAGAGUUCCGAAGGCUGGAAGUUCAAGAUCAAGGCACUGCUGGCUGAUUCCUUUUCUGGCACGGCUUUGGUUUCCUGCUGCAGCUGCUGCUGGGGAGUUAUCAGGGCAUUUCCUCCGCCUGUGAGCUCCUGGGGUCAGGGGAAGGUUGGGUGGCCAGAGAUGCUGCCUCUACCCUAAGUCAGCGUCACCCAUGCUAUUCCCAGCAGCUGCAUUUCUCCACUCUGUAAUUACAAAUGAAACUGGGGAAUAGAAUCAAAAGAGUACCUAGAAACAAGCUAGCCUCUACUUCCUCAAACAUUCUGGGGCAGGAGUUUGUGCGCUGGAACAAUGUUAUUUGCAAGAUUCUCCCUGGUGGAUAUACACUCAAGUAUUAAAGUGCUACAAGGAAUUAAAAAAAGAAUAGUAUUUCUUCCAGAGCCUGUGUGGGCCCAGCACAAUGACACUGAAUCUGGCUGUUAAACCUGGCUGUUGCUGAUUCUAAUAUGUGGCCUUGGACAUUUCAUUUUUCCAAGUAUAGCUUUCCUCAUCUGUAAAAUAUGGAAACAAUCUUUAGAAUGUCGGAGAUAGUGUAUGUAAAGGUACUUCAGAAACAAUAAAGUCCAAAUCCCAAUGACAUUUUUUGCAGAAAUAGAAAAACCCAUCCUAAAAUUCAUAUGGAAUCUCAAGGGGCCCUGAACAGCCAAAACAAUCUUGAAAAAGAACAAGGCUGGAGGACUCACACUUCCUGAUUUCAAAACUUACCACAAAGCUACAGUAAUCAAAACAGUGUGGCACUGGAAUAAAGCUUGACAUAUAGAUCAAUAGAAUAGAAUAGAGAGCCCAGAAACAAACCCUUGAAUAUAUGGUCAAAUGAUUUUUGGCAAGGGUGCCAUGAUCACUUAAUGGCAAAAGGACAGCUUUUUCAACAAAUGGUGCUGGGAAAACUGGAUAUCUACAUGCAAAAGAAUGAAGCUGGACCCUUACCUAACACCAUAUACAAAAAUUAACUCAAAAUAGAUCAAAGACCUAAAAGUAACCUAAAACUAUAGAAUUUUUAGAAGAAAACUUGGAGCAAAAUCUCCACAAUGUUGGAUUUGGCAGUGAUUUCUUGGAUAUGACAUUAAAGACACAGACAACACAGAAAAAUAGACAAAUUGGAUUUCAUAAAAAUUUGGUGCAUCAAAAAGCAAAAUCGGGCUGGUGCGGUGUCUCACGCCUGUAAUCCCAGCACUUUGGGAGGCUGCGGUGGGAAGAUCACUUGAGGUCAGGAGUUGGAGGCCAGCCUGGCCAACAUGGUGAAACCCCGUCUCUACUAAAAAUACAAAAAUUAGCCAGACCUGGUGGCGCACGCCUGUAGUUCCACCUACUCGGGAGGCUGAGGCAGGAGAAUGGCGUGAACCCACGAGGCAGAGCUUGCAGUGAGCCGAGAUCACACCACUGCACUCCAGCCUGGGUGACAGAGCAAGACUCCGUCUCAAAAACAACAACAACAACAACAACAACAACAACAACAACAACAACAACAAAGUGCUGGCGGUGAGGAUGUGAAGAAAUUGGAACCCUGUGCACUGUUUGGCAGAAUGUAGAAUGGUACACUGUGGAAAGUAUUAUUAUGAUGCUUCUUCAAAAAAUUAAAAAUAGAAUGACCACAUAAUCCAGCAAUUCCACUUCUGGGUAUAUACCCAAAACAACUGAAAAUAAGAUCUUGAAAAGAUAUUUGUGCACCCAUGUUCGUCGCAGCAUUAUUCAUAAUUGCUAAAAUGUGGAUGCAACCCAAUGAUUUCUUGACAAACGAGUGGGUAAACACAAUGUGGUAUACACACACAUGGAAAUAUUACUCAGCCUUAAAAAGGAAGGAAAUUUGGACAUACACUACAUCAUAGAUGAAUCUUGAGGACAUUAUGCUAAGUGAAAUAAUCCAGUUGCAAAAAGGAAAUACUGUAUGAUUCCACUUAUGUAAGGUAUUAGAGAGGUAGUCAUUAUUUAAUGGGUAUAGAGUUUCAGUUUUACAAGAUGAAAAGAGUUCUGGAGAUGGAUGGUGGUGCUGGUUGCACAUCAUUAAUGUAUUUAAUACCACUGAGCUGUUCACUUUAAAAGGAUUAAGAUGAUAAAUUUUAUGUUAUGUGUAUAUUAUAAUAAAAGUUAG